rnacentral:rRNA from 1 species
CUGGUUGAUCCUGCCAGCAAUCAUAUGCUUGUCUUAAAGAUUAAGCCAUGCAUGUCUAAGUAUAAGCAAUUUAUACGGCGAAACUGCGAACGGCUCAUUAAAUCAGUUAUAAUCUAUUUGAUAGUACCUUACUACUUGGAUAACCGUAGUAAUUCUAGAGCUAAUACAUGCAAAAAAGCUGGGUCCUCGUGGCACAGCUGUAUUUAUUAGAUCAAAAACCAAUGCGGGGCAACCCGGUUGAUUGAUGAAUCAUAAUAACUUCGCGAAUCGCAUGGCCCUGUGCCGGCGAUGAAUCAUUCGAAUUUCUGCCCUAUCAACUUUGGAAGGUAGUGUAGUGGACUACCUUGGUUGUAACGGGUGACGGGGAAUUAGGGUUUGGUUCCGGAGAGGGAGCCUGAGAGAUGGCUACCACUUCCAAGGAAGGCAGCAGGCGCGCAAAUUACCCAAUGGCAAUACGCCGAGGUAGUGACAAUAAAUAACAAUACGGGUCCCGACAAGGGACUCGUAAUUGGAAUGAGUACAAUUUAAACCCCUUAACGAGGAACAAUUGGAGGGCAAGUCUGGU